GACGAACGCUGGCGGCGUGCUUAACACAUGCAAGUCGAACGGAAAGGCCCUGCUUUUGUGGGGUGCUCGAGUGGCGAACGGGUGAGUAACACGUGAGUAACCUGCCCUUGACUUUGGGAUAACUUCAGGAAACUGGGGCUAAUACCGGAUAGGAGCUCCUGCUGCAUGGUGGGGGUUGGAAAGUUUCGGCGGUUAGGGAUGGACUCGCGGCUUAUCAGCUUGUUGGUGGGGUAGUGGCUUACCAAGGCUUUGACGGGUAGCCGGCCUGAGAGGGUGACCGGCCACAUUGGGACUGAGAUACGGCCCAGACUCCUACGGGAGGCAGCAGUGGGGAAUAUUGCACAAUGGGCGGAAGCCUGAUGCAGCAAUGCCGCGUGCGGGAUGACGGCCUUCGGGUUGUAAACCGCUUUCGCCUGUGACGAAGCGUGAGUGACGGUAAUGGGUAAAGAAGCACCGGCUAACUACGUG
rnacentral:rRNA from 1 species